rnacentral:rRNA from 1 species
CCUACGGGCGGCUGCAGUGGGGAAUCUUCCGCAAUGGGCGAAAGCCUGACGGAGCAACGCCGCGUGAUCGAAUGAAGGCCUUCGGGUUGUAAAGAUCUGUUGACAGGGACGAAUAAGCAAUGCGAAUAGCUUUGUGUAUGUCGGUACCUGUUUAGCAAGCUCUGGCUAACUACGUGCCAGCAGCCGCGGUAAUACGGAGGGAGCAAGCGUUGUCCGGAAUUAUUGGGCGUAAAGGGCGCGUAGGUGGGUGCUUAAGUCAGGUGUGAAAACUUCGGGCUCAACCUGGAGACUGCACUUGAAACUGGGUGUCGUGAGGGCAGGAGAGGAAAGUGGAAUUCCUAGUGUAGCGGUGAAAUGCGUAGAUAUUAGGAGGAACACCAGUGGCGAAGGCGACUUUCUGGACUGUACCUGACGCUGAGGCGCGAAAGCGUGGGUAGCGAACGGGAUUAGAUACCCGAGUAGUC